GACGAACGCUGGCGGCGUGCUUAACACAUGCAAGUCACGGGGGCUCCGCAAGGAGCAACCGGCGAACGGGUGCGUAACACGUGAACAACCUGCCCUCGUGUGGGGGAUAGCCGGGCUAAC
rnacentral:rRNA from 1 species